UCCCAGACUGUUUUCAUAGGAGAGGUGCUCCAGCCCCCUGAUCAUCUUCAUGGCCCUCCUCUGGACUGGCUCCAACAGGUGUAACCAAAAUGGACAUCAAGACUCUCCCUCUGAAUUCCAUACAUAUCAUACAUACAAACUUAAUUUUCCUUCCUGACCCAUUUAUAAUCUAAUCAGAUGAUAAGCAACUCAGUGCAAUAAACGUAAGAAUGCAAAAGAAGUGAGGAACAAAAGAAAUACUCUAAAAUGUGAAAUUAUCCAGUAAUUUGCUUUUUACUAUACAGAGUAGCAAGAGAUUCUUCAAAGUACUGAGGAAUUAGUCUCUCUAUGAAACAGUAUGUAUCUAAGCUACUUCAUCCAGAAGAGUUUGAAUUUCUUAUCUGUGGCAGUUCUGAACUGGAUAUGUCUGCUUUAGAGCAAAGUACCCAAUAUGAGGGCUACCAAGAAACUGAUCUUACUAUAUGGUUUUAUGCUGUGUUGAUGGUAGAUUGGAAGCUACAGCUGAAUAAGUAAUGACUAUGACAGUGACAAACUUUUAAUGACUUACUGUAC